UGGUAAAAGGCUGCCUCCUGCCUAGACAAU
rnacentral:piRNA from 1 species